rnacentral:rRNA from 1 species
AUUGAACGCUGGCGGCAGGCCUAACACAUGCAAGUCGAGCGAGUGGCGGACGGGUGAGUAAUGUCUGGGAAACUGACUGAUGGAGGGGGAUAACGACUGGAAACGGUAGCUAAUACCGCAUACCAUCGGAUGUGCCCAGCUGGGAUUAGCUAGUAGGUGGGGUAAAGGCUCACCUAGGCGACGAUCCCUAGCUGGUCUGAGAGGAUGACCAGCCACACUUGAAUUGAGACACGGUCCAGACGCUUACGUGCGGCAGCAGUGGGGAAUAUUGCACAAGGGGCUCAAGCCUGAGGCAGCCAUGCCGCGUGUAUGAAGAAGGCCUUCGGGUUGUAAAGUACUUUCAGCGGUGAGGCGUUACCCGCAGAAGAAGCACCGGCUAACUCCGUGCCAGCCGCCGCGGUAAUAC